rnacentral:rRNA from 1 species
GUGGAUUAGAUACCCUGGUAGUCCACGCCGUAAACGAUGGAUACUAGGUGUAGGAGGUAUCGACCCCUUCUGUGCCGGAGUAAACACAAUAAGUAUCCCACCUGGGGAGUACGGCCGCAAGGUUGAAACUCAAAGGAAUUGACGGGGGCCCGCACAAGCAGUGGAGUAUGUGGUUUAAUUCGAAGCAACGCGAAGAACCUUACCAGGGCUUGACAUCCCGCUGACAGGUAUAGAGAUAUACCCUUCUUCGGACAGCGGUGACAGGUGGUGCACGGCCGUCGACAACU